rnacentral:rRNA from 1 species
CAGAGGGUGCAAACGUUGCUCGGAAUCAUUGGGCGUAAAGCGCACGUAGGCGGCCCAGCAAGUGGGGAGUGAAAGCCCUCGGCUUAACCGAGGAAGUGCUUUCCAAACUACUGGGCUUGAAUACUGGAGAGGGUCGCGGAAUUCCCGGUGUAGAGGUGAAAUUCGUAGAUAUCGGGAGGAACACCAGUGGCGAAGGCGGCGACCUGGACAGAUAUUGACGCUGAGGUGCGAAAGCGUGGGGAGCAAACAGGAUUAGAUACCCCGGUAGUCCACGCCGUAAACGAUGAGUGCUAGAUGUCGCGGGUAUUGACCCCUGCGGCGUCGAAGUUAACGCAUUAAGCACUCCGCCUGGGGAGUACGGCCGCAAGGCUA